CAUCUCUCCCAACUCAACAUAGCUGAAAGGGCUAGCGGAGGUGCAAGCGGCAUCAUCAACGGGACUCCCCCCUGACGAGGCACUAGGGUGUGACUCCUCCCCCGGCUCUGGGCCCCCAUCAUUCACGGUCGGCUAGAUCUUUUCAGGCGAACCCUCAUCCGGGACCAGCAUCGGGUCGGUUGGGUUAUCUUCUGCCAUCUCCAUCUCACUCCCCUCCGGA
rnacentral:lncRNA from 1 species